rnacentral:rRNA from 1 species
GAUGAACGCUGGCGGCGUGCCUAAUACAUGCAAGUCGAGCGAACAGACGAGGAGCUUGCUCCUCUGACGUUAGCGGCGGACGGGUGAGUAACACGUGGAUAACCUACCUAUAAGACUGGGAUAACUUCGGGAAACCGGAGCUAAUACCGGAUAAUAUAUUGAACCGCAUGGUUCAAUAGUGAAAGACGGUUUUGCUGUCACUUAUAGAUGGAUCCGCGCCGCAUUAGCUAGUUGGUAAGGUAACGGCUUACCAAGGCAACGAUGCGUGGCCGACCUGAGAGGGUGAUCGGCCAAACUGGAACUGAGAAACGGUCCAGACUCCUACGGGGGGCAGCAGUAGGGAAUCUUCCGCAAGGGGCGAAAGCCUGACGGAGCAACGCCGCGUGAGUGAUGAAGGUCUUCGGAUCGUAAAACUCUGUUAUUAGGGAAGAACAAAUGUGUAAGUAACUAUGCACGUCUUGACGGUACCUAAUCAGAAAGCCACGGCUAACUACGU